rnacentral:rRNA from 1 species
UACGUAGGGCGCAAGCGUUGUCCGGAAUUAUUGGGCGUAAAGAGCUCGUAGGCGGUCUGUCGCGUCUGCCGUGAAAACCCGAGGCUUAACCUCGGGCCUGCGGUGGAUACGGGCAGACUAGAGGUAGGUAGGGGAGAAUGGAAUUCUCGGUGUAGCGGUGAAAUGCGUAGAUAUCGAGAGGAACACCUGCGGCGAAGGCGGGUAGCUGGGCCGACACUGACGCUGAGGCGCGAAAGCCAGGGGAGCGAACGGG